rnacentral:rRNA from 1 species
GACGAACGCUGGCGGCGUGCUUAACACAUGCAAGUCGAACGGAAAGGCCCUGCUCUUGCUGGGCGCUCGUGUGGCGAACGGGUGUGUAACACGUGAGUAUCCUGCCCUUGUCUUUGGGAUAACUCCAGGAAACUGCGGCUAAUAUCCCAUAGGAGCUCCUGCUCCACGUUGGGCGUUGGAAAGUUUCGGCGGUUGUGGAUCGUCUCGCUGCUUAUCGGCUUGUUUGUCGAGUAGUGGCUUACCAAGCUUUUGACGGGUAGCCGGCAUGGGAGGGUGGCCGGCGACAUUAGGACUGAGGUACGGACCAGACUGCUACGGGAGGCAGCGGUGGGGAAUAUUGCACAGUGGGCGGAAGCCUGAUGCGGCAGCGCCGCGUGCGGGAUAACGGCCUACGAGUUGUAAACCGCUUUCGCCUGUAACAAAGAGUGAGUGACGGUAAUGGGUAAGGAAGCACCGGCUAACUACGUG